CCCUUAGAUGUUCUGGGCUGCACGCGCGCUACACUGGUGCGUUCAGCGAGUUUAGCACCUUAACAGAUAUGUUUGGGUAAUCUUCUGAAAACGCACCGUGAUGGGGAUCGAUUAUUGUAAUUAUUAAUCGUCAACGAGGAAUUCCUAGUAAGUGUGAAUCAUCAGUUCGCGCUGAUUACGUCCCUGCCCUUUGUACACACCGCCCGUCGCUGCUACCGAUUGAGUGGUCCGGUGAAUUAUUCGGACCGGUGGGCUGUGGGGAAACCCGCGGCCUGCUGGGAAGUCUUGUGAACCUUAUCACUUAGAGGAAGCAGAAGUCGUAACA
rnacentral:rRNA from 1 species